rnacentral:rRNA from 1 species
GAAAGUUAGAAAGAGCGUAUGGUGGAUGCCUAGGCUCUCAGAGGCGAAGAAGGACGUGAUAAGCUGCGAAAAGCUUCGGUUAGGUGCAAAUAACCGAUAACCCGAAGAUAUCCGAAUGGGGCAACCCGAUGUUGCGAAACGACAUCAUCCGUUAUUUUGUAACGGAGGCAAACCCGGAGAACUGAAACAUCUAAGUAUCCGGAGGAAAAGAAAACAAAAGUGAUUCCCUAAGUAGUGGCGAUCGAACGGGGAAUAGCCCAAACCAAUAUUGUUUCGGCAUUAUUGGGGUUGAAGGACUGCGAAGUAUCUGAUGUAUCUAAGUGGAAUAAUUUGGAAAAAUUAACAACACAGGGUGAAAGUCCCGUACACGUAAAAUUAUAUUAGAUUAGCAGUAUCCUGAGUAUCUCGGGACACGAGGAAUCCUGAGUGAAUCAGCCGGGACCAUCCGGUAAGGCUAAAUACUACUGAGAGACCGAUAGCGAACCAGUACCGUGAGGGAAAGGUGAAAAGCACCUCGAACAGAGGAGUGAAAAAGAACCUGAAACCGUACGCUUACAAGCGGUCGGAGCAUUCUAUAAGAGUGUGACGGCGUGCCUUUUGCAUAAUGAGCCUACGAGUUACACUUUUCUGGCAAGAUUAAGGUUUUCAGGACUGUAGUCGAAGCGAAAGCGAGUCUGAAUAGGGCGUUAAGUCAGGAGAGGUAGACGCGAAACUUUGUGAUCUACCCAUGUCCAGGUUGAAGUGUCGGUAACGCGACAUGGAGGACCGAACCAGUUGACGUUGAAAAGUCUUUGGAUGAGGUGUGGGUAGGGGUGAAAGGCCAAUCAAACUGAGAAAUAGCUCGUACUCCCCGAAAUGCAUUUAGGUGCAGCCUUGAGUUAAGUCUGACAGAGGUAGAGCUACUGAUAGGAUGCGAGGGCUUCACCGCCUAUCAAAUCUUGACAAACUCCGAAUGCUGUCAGAUAUACUCAGGAGUGAGGCGUUGGGUGCUAAGGUCCAAUGCCGAGAGGGCAAGAACCCGGACCAUCAGCUAAGGUCCCUAAAUAUAUGCUAAGUUGAAAAAACGAGGUGCGGUUGCCUAGACAGCUAGGAUGUUGGCUUGGAAGCAGCCAUUCAUUUAAAGAGUGCGUAACAGCUCACUAGUCGAGCGACUGUGCGUGGAUAAUAAUCGGGCAUCAAGCAUAUUACCGAAGCUGUGGAUUCUGAGAUAAUAAAUUUCAGAGUGGUAGGGGAGCAUUCUAUUUGCGUCGAAGCUAUAUGGUAAUGUAUAGUGGAGCGAAUAGAAAAGCAAAUGUAGGCAUAAGUAACGAUAAUGCAGGCGAGAAACCUGCACGCCGCAAGACUAAGGCUUCCUGAUCAACGCUAAUCGGAUCAGGGUUAGUCGGGGCCUAAGGCAACCCCGAGAGGGUUAGUCGAUGGACAACAGGUUAAUAUUCCUGUACUGUCAUAUACUGCGAAGGAGAGACGAAAGAGUGAAAGGGUCGCGUACAGACGGAAUAGUACGUUAAAGGGUGUAGUUAUAUGGAUUGGUUAAGAGCUGAUUUAUGAUGAACCUGAUAGUACCGUAAGUCUUCGGAUGCGCGGAAAGUACCCCUAAACAGAUUUCCGAGAAAAACUUCUAAGCAUCAGGUAUAUGAUACCCGUACCGUAAACCGACACAGGUAGUCGAGUAGAGUAUACUAAGGCGCUCGAGUGAUUCAUGGUUAAGGAACUAGGCAAAAUAGACCUGUAACUUCGGGAUAAAGGUCGCUCACAGCGAUGUGAGCCGCAGAGAAAUGAUCCAGGCGACUGUUUAUCAAAAACACAGGGCUUUGCGAAAUUGAAAGAUGAAGUAUAAGGCCUGACACCUGCCCGGUGCCGGAAGGUUAAGAGGGGAUGUUAUCAGUGAUGAGAAGCAUUGAAUCGAAGCCCCGGUAAACGGCGGCCGUAACUAUAACGGUCCUAAGGUAGCGAAAUUCCUUGUCGGGUAAGUUCCGACCUGCACGAAUGGUGCAACGAUCUGGUACUGCAGCUUAACAUUGAUUUUGGAUACGUGAUGUGUAGGAUAGGUGGGAGACUGUGAAUUGGCUUCGCCAGGAGUCAAGGAGUCGUCCUUGAAAUACCACCCUUUGCUUAUUUGGAGUCUAACCCUUUAGGGGGACAUUGUUUGGCGGGUAGUUUGACUGGGGUGGUCGCCUCCAAAAGCGUAACGGAGGCUCCCAAAGGUACCCUCAGCAUGAUUGGUAACCAUGCGUAGAGUGUAAUGGCAGAAGGGUGCUUGACUGUGAGACCGACAAGUCGAGCAGGUACGAAAGUAGGGCAUAGUGAUCCGGCGAUUCCGCAUGGAAGGGUCGUCGCUCAAAGGAUAAAAGGUACUCCGGGGAUAACAGGCUGAUCGCUCCCAAGAGCUCAUAUCGACGGAGCGGUUUGGCACCUCGAUGUCGGCUCGUCAC